rnacentral:rRNA from 1 species
GACGAACGCUGGCGGCGUGCCUAAUACAUGCAAGUCGAGCGGACGAAUCGAAAGCUUGCUUUUGAUUCGUUAGCGGCGGACGGGUGAGUAACACGUGGGCAACCUGCCCUGUAGACGGGGAUAACACCGAGAAAUCGGUGCUAAUACCGGAUAGCACGAAAUGUCGCAUGACGUUUCGUUGAAAGACGGCGCAAGCUGUCGCUACAGGAUGGGCCCGCGGCGCAUUAGCUAGUUGGUGAGGUAACGGCUCACCAAGGCGACGAUGCGUAGCCGACCUGAGAGGGUGAUCGGCCACACUGGGACUGAGACACGGCCCAGACUCCUACGGGAGGCAGCAGUAGGGAAUCUUCCGCAAAGGGCGAAAGUCUGACGGAGCAACGCCGCGUGAGCGAAGAAGGCCUUCGGGUCGUAAAGCUCUGUUGUUAGGGAAGAACAAGUAACGCAGUAACUGGCGUUACCGUGACGGUACCUAACGAGAAAGCCACGGCUAACUACGUG